rfam:Gossypium raimondii Chr03_contig_1032, whole genome shotgun sequence.
UACUAAAAAUCUCAUCCAUUUGUAUCCUUAAAAAUUGAUGUGGCUCAUGGAAUAACCAAACAGUGACGUGGUAUGUCACCUCAUGUUAAGGUACAGGAACCAGUUCUUAAUGGCAAAAAUGGAUGAAAUUUUUAGUA